rnacentral:tRNA from 1 species
AUAGUGAUGGUGCAGUGGAUAGGACACAUGCCUUUGGUGCAGGAGAUCUGGGUUCAUUUCCCAUUGCCAUA